CCAAGGAUGUUUUCAUUAAUCAAGAACGAAAGUUAGGGGAUCGAAGACGAUCAGAUACCGUCGUAGUCUUAACCAUAAACGAUGCCGACCAGCGAUUAGGAGACGUUGAAUACAAAACACCACCAUCGGCGCGGUCGUCCUUGGCGUCUCGGUCCUUCACGGGGCCGGGGCGCGGGGGCGGCUUAGCCCGGUGGCACCGGUGAAU
rnacentral:rRNA from 1 species